UGAGGAAUAUUGGUCAAUGGGCGCAAGCCUGAACCAGCCAAGUAGCGUGAGGGAAGACUGCCCUAUGGGUUGUAAACCUCUUUUGUGCGGGGAUAAAGUGUGGGACGUGUCCCAUAUUGCAGGUACCGCACGAAUAAAGACCGGCUAAUUCCGUGCCAGCAGCCGCGGUAAUACGGAAGGUCCGGGCGUUAUCCGGAUUUAUUGGGUUUAAAGGGAGCGCAGGCCGUCCUUUAAGCGUGCUGUGAAAUGCCGCGGCUCAACCGUGGCACUGCAGCGCGAACUGGAGGACUUGAGUACGCACGAGGUAGGCGGAAUUCGUGGUGUAGCGGUGAAAUGCUUAGAUAUCACGAAGAACUCCGAUUGCGAAGGCAGCUUACCGGAGCGCAACUGACGCUGAGGCUCGAAAGCGCGGGUAUCGAACAGGAUUAGAUACCCUGGUAGUCCGCGCGGUAAACGAUGGAUGCCCGCCGUUGGGUUUUAGAAUUCAGCGGCCAAGCGAAAGCGUUAAGCAUCCCACCUGGGGAGUACGCCGGCAACGGUGAAACUCAAAGGAAUUGACGGGGGCCCGCACAAGCGGAGGAACAUGUGGUUUAAUUCGAUGAUACGCGAGGAACCUUACCCGGGCUUGAAUUGCAGGAGAACGAUCCAGAGAUGGUGAGGCCCUUCGGGGCUCCUGUGAAGGUGCUGCAUGGUUGUCGUCAGCUCGUGCCGUGAGGUGUCGGCUCAAGUGCCAUAACGAGCGCAACCCCUGUCCAUAGUUGCCAUCAGGUCGUGCUGGGCACUCUGUGGAGACUGCCGCCGUAAGGUGUGAGGAAGGUGGGGAUGACGUCAAAUCAGCACGGCCCUUACGUCCGGGGCUACACACGUGUUACAAUGGGGCAUACAGCGAGUUGGAUGUGCGCAAGUACGUCCGGAUCAAUAAAGUGCCUCUCAGUUCGGACUGGGGUCUGCAACCCGACCCCACGAAGCUGGAUUCGCUAGUAAUCGCGCAUCAGCCAUGGCGCGGUGAAUACGUUCCC
rnacentral:rRNA from 1 species